AGUAGCUAGUAUGGGGCCGUGUUUUGGAGUUUUGCUGGAAACAGCAAUGAUAAUAUGGAGAUGUUUUAGUUGUUGCUAAGUAGCACUUACACUGGUCAAGGACUUUUUCAGCUCCCCGUGCUCUGCCGGGGGCACAAGAAGCUGGGAGGGGACACAGCCAGGACAGCUGACCCAAAGUGACCAAUGGGAUAUUCCAGACUAUAUGACAUCAUGCUCAGUAUAUAAAGCUGGGGAAGAAGAAGGAAGGGGGAUUAUUGAGAGUGGUGGUGUUUGUCUUCCCAAGUAACUGUUACGCGUGAUGGAGCCCUGCUUUCCUAGAGAUGGCUGAACCCCUACCUGCCCAUGGGAAGUAGUGAAUGAAUUCCUUGUUUUGCUUUGCUUCCGUGUGCAGUUUCUGCUUUACCUAUUAAACUGUCUUUAUCUCAAACCAUGAGUUACCUCACUUUUACUCUUCCGAUUCUCUCCCUCGUCCCACCAGGGGGGAGUGAGCGAGCGGCUGUGUGGUGCUUGGUUGCUGACCGGAGCUAAACCACGACACCCUUACAAAAUUCUCUGCUACAACAGGAAUCACCAGCACUGAAGAUACCAUUUUCCCUUUGCUCUCUUCUGGUCACAUGUAGUUUUUGGCAUCCUGCACUGAAGAUCUUUAAGUUUGCUGCAGAUACGACAGUAAGGGGUUUGUGGUCUCUGAUAAGCAGAGACCAUCUUGCUCUUGCAGACCUGUCUGAAUAGCGGCUUACAAAAGCUGUGAUUAAGUAGAGGCUUAUUAAUUAGAGAAGGCAAACACAAUAUUAAGGCGUUCCAUGCUUGAUUUACUUCUCGAAUAACAAUUCUGGUUUAAUGCAUAUUUGUGUUUUCUCUCCAGAGGGAAACAUCCAAGUGCUUUGAAGCACUUAAAGAGACAUUGAGGGAGUUUUGAAUGCCUGCUGAGUUGAUUUCCAUUGCGUUGUACCCGGAGGGCAAAACUGCAGCGCUUUCUUUUUCACAGGUAACGGGAAAAGAAACGGGCAGAAAGAAUAACUUAUGUUCAUCUCUCCCUGGUGUUUAAUGACUCGAUGAUUGUGUGCCUAUGGACGCAAUAGAGUUUGUGCGCCUUCCACCCCAGCAACGAAGAACAUCAAGCAGACUAGACUUCAUCCUCACUUAAAUCCGGAGCAUUUUCCAUCCGUUUUGUCCUUGUGCACUCAUGUGGAUCUGCGUACAUUCAGUUCUGGGGAUGAAGAUGAUCAAAGUUGUGCUUUAAGUCUACCCUAGCGACAAAGCAAGCUGGAAUACUUCUAGCCAAAACUGUGGUGUGAAGCAAGUGGACAGAUGUGUGUCUUGACAGUGAGGACUAGCAUUUUGUAAUCAGCUGAACAAACCCCUGUUACUCUUCCAAAGCUGUCCAGACACAGCAGCUCUGGAUUGUUUCCUCCAUGUACCUCCUGCCUGAAACAAGGAUAUUUUAACUCUCCA